GUUCAAUAUUUGAACUCUGUUUGUGAUUGGUCUAAAUCAUGCUCAUCGGUUAACCAAUGAAAAGACUCGCAUAAAUUUAGACCAAUCACAAACAGAGUUCAAAUAUUGAAC